GACGAACGCUGGCGGCGUGCCUAAUACAUGCAAGUCGAGCGCAGGAAAUCGACGGAACCCUUCGGGGGGAAGUCGAUGGAAUGAGCGGCGGACGGGUGAGUAACACGUAAAGAACCUGCCCUCAGGUCUGGGAUAACCACGAGAAAUCGGGGCUAAUACCGGAUGGGUCAUCGGACCGCAUGGUCCGAGGAUGAAAGGCGCUUCGGCGUCGCCUGGGGAUGGCUUUGCGGUGCAUUAGCUAGUUGGUGGGGUAAUGGCCCACCAAGGCGACGAGGCAUAGCCGACAUGAGAGGGUGAUCGGCCACACGGGGACUGAGACACGGCCCAGACUCCUACGGGAGGCAGCAGUAGGGAAUCUUCCACAAUGGACGAAAGUCUGAUGGAGCAACGCCGCGUGAACGAUGAAGGCCUUCGGGUCGUAAAGUUCUGUUGUAAGGGAAGAACAAGUGCCGCAGGCAAUGGCGGCACCUUGACGGUACCUCGCGAGAAAGCCACGGCUAACUACGUGCCAGCCGCCGCAGUAACAC
rnacentral:rRNA from 1 species